GAUGAACGCUGGCGGCGUGCCUAAUACAUGCAAGUCGAGCGAACAGACGAGGAGCUUGCUCCUCUGACGUUAGCGGCGGACGGGUGAGUAACACGUGGAUAACCUACCUAUAAGACUGGGAUAACUUCGGGAAACCGGAGCUAAUACCGGAUAAUAUAUUGAACCGCAUGGUUCAAUAGUGAAAGACGGUUUUGCUGUCACUUAUAGAUGGAUCCGCGCCGCAUUAGCUAGUUGGUAAGGUAACAGCUUACCAAGGCAACGAUGCGUAGCCGACCUGAGAGGGUGAUCGGCCACACUGGAACUGAGACACGGUCCAGACUCCUACGGGAGGCAGCAGUAGGGAAUCUUCCGCAAUGGGCGAAAGCCGGACGGAGCAACGCCGCGUGAGUGAUGAAGGUCUUCGGAUCGUAAAACUCUGUUAUUAGGGAAGAACAAAUGUGUAAGUAACUAUGCACGUCUUGACGGUACCUAAUCAGAAAGCCACGGCUAACUACGUG
rnacentral:rRNA from 1 species